rnacentral:rRNA from 1 species
AUGGGGUUCUGGUGUGGGCCUUCCGAUGUCCAGGUGCUCCCCCAUACGACCACCACUUCCUCCUCAUCCUCCUCCUCGUCCUCCUCCUCCUCGACUAAAGAUUCUGGCGAUGGCGGCAAGAAGAAGCAGCAAGAAGGUGUAAAGAAGGAACAGGGGAAGGAGAAGAAGAGGAGCAACCUUGACCGGGCCGCCCUCACAACGCCCCGCCUCCCCUUCCAUUCUCGACCCGGUCUAAUGUGA